UUUGAUCCUGGCUCAGGACGAACGCUGGCGGCGCGCUUAACACAUGCAAGUCGAACGGGUGGCUUCGGCCAUCAGUGGCGAACGGGUGCGUAACACGUAAGCGACCUGCCUCGAGGUGGGGGAUAACCCCGGGAAACCGGGGCUAAUACCGCAUGAGCUCUCCGAGCUGCAUGGUUUGGAGAGGAAAGCUCCCGCAAGGGAGCGCUUUGAGAGGGGCUUGCGGCGUAUCAGCUGGUUGGUGAGGUAACGGCUCACCAAGGCGAUGACGCGUAGGGGGUCUGAGAGGACGGCCCCCCACAUUGGGACUGAGAUACGGCCCAGACUCCUACGGGAGGCAGCAGUGGGGAAUCUUGCGCAAUGGCCGAGAGGCUGACGCAGCGACGCCGCGUGCGGGAGGAAGGUCUUCGGAUCGUAAACCGCUGUCAGGAGGGACGAACGGGUUUGGGAGGCAAUGCCCAGAUCGUGACGGUACCUCCAGAGGAAGCACCGGCUAACUCCGUGCCAGCAGCCGCGGUAAUACGGAGGGUGCGAGCGUUGUUCGGAAUCAUUGGGCGUAAAGCGCGCGCAGGCGGUUUUACAAGUCUAUGGGUGAAAUGCCGGGGCUCAACUCCGUGCGUGCCCAGGAUACUGUGAGACUGGAGACAUGUAGAGGCAAGCGGAAUUUCGGGUGUAGCGGUGGAAUG
rnacentral:rRNA from 1 species